GUCAUGAUAUGGUGUAUUGAGUACCAUUUCUUCAAAAAAGGUCAAGAACACACUGUGUGGAUCUCAUCAUAACCAAGACUGUAGAUUCCCAGGAAAACUAAACCAGUUGCACUUCAGUGCACUUGAAGAGGAUUGAAAAGAAGCAAGACAGAAUGAGCUCACAUUGCCAGUGGACAGCAGAGACAAUGAGAAAACCACAGCGGCAUUAGGAACUACCCAUGGAACUGGCUACGCUAUCCUGAAGGGAUCUGACACAAAGUUCUGUGAAAGCGAUGGAAGAACAGAGAACUGGAGAAGAGGCUGCAAGCUGCUGUGGUUCCUUCUGUCUGCGUGGGGCCCCACUCUUCACUGUGCUCUGUAGAAAUGUUCAAGGAGUCAGGACACUACCAAGCACCUGGAAACACUGCAGUACAGAGAGAGAAGUAGAAGUAUUUGAAAGCAAAUCAGAAAGACUGUUUUGAUUUCUGUAUUUCUACAAGAAUCUCCUCUAUGAUCUCUGCAACACUGCACAGAACCCAACUGAAUAGGGACUGAAGAUUUGCUGCUAGUGACUUUGCUGAGAUCACAGGAGGGUAAAGGAGGACAAAAAUCAAGAUAGACCUUGGCUGCACAAUGCUGGCUGCUAAAGGAAAUACAUACAGAGGACUGAAAUUGGAGGUGGU